rnacentral:rRNA from 1 species
GUCUACAGCCAUGUGACCCUGAACAAGCCCGAUGUCUGAUCUUGAAAGCCAAGCAGAGUCGAGCCUGGUUAGUACGUGGAUGAGAGACCAUCUAGGCAGACCAGGUGCUGUAGGCA